UCAAUCCGGGCCAGGGCUGCAGCUCCAGCCAUCUGCGCUCCUUCGGUGGGAGCGUGGCGAUUCUUCUUGGCAGUGGAGCUGCUCUGCACCACCUCGGGCUUGUUACGGCUUUUAUGAAGGACAGAAAAAAAGCGAAGUGAGGAGACAUGUUGUGGCUCCACGUUGUCUCCGACCCCAAACAGCCACAAUCUGCUUUAUCGCUGACAUGAGAUAUCCACCUUGCGAUCACCCUUCAUAUAUUCUGACAUACAUCCUCAACUGCUGCAUACCCAAAAGCACAGGUGGCCCAUCUGAGCGUCAGGUGCCGCCAAGCUCGUCAUUAUACCCUGAACAUCAUCCAAGCCAAGUCCAAACCAUGAGAUUUAAACAUAAAUCAACAGUCUAACCACAGCUCUGAAUCACUGUCCAAGGUUGAACUGCAGACGUGAUCAUCAUUUGAACACAAACACACUUUUCAACGGGUUCACUCUGCGAUUUCUUGAAAAAGACGACCUCCACCCACUGACGACCCACUAACAAGGACCAAACCUGUUUCAGCAUGGCAGAUAUAACUCAGCGCUACACUUGGAGCACCGUCGUCGAGGCAAACCCCAACCGGCCCGGCAGCCCGAGGUUAAUCCUGUGAAAGAUCCCAGCACCAGCCCUCUCCGGCAGCUCCUCCCCUACCUCCUUCUCCAACAGGUUUUCCCCUGACUCAGCCAGUAGCACGUCUCCAAGCUUCUCUUUUAGCUCCUCUUCCAGCUCCUCCUCUUCCUCCAGCUCCUGGUCCUGCUCUUCAUGUGUCUCCUCCUCUCGCUCUUCCUCUAACUCAUCCUGUAGCCCUCCUAGAUUCUCCCCCAGCUCCUCCCCAGGCUCUCCUCCUAGCAGAGGACCAGAGGAUGAACUUUGAAGGUGCUUAAUGAUCAGAACAAGAUCAUCCUCAGAAUGCUGCCAAUAGCGAGCUCCCCUGAAUAACCCAGCGAGGUUUGGACAUGGAGCCCCCCUGAGAGUCCUCAGACUGCCAUCAAGCCUCAUCUGACAGCUGGCCCCGAACUGAAGUGAGUGAGGAACCUGCGGGCCCUCAUGGGGGAGGGAGGCAGGCAGCGUGGCAGCAUUGGAGCUCGAACUUUGAGUGACUCCAGGACUGAACAGAAGAACCCAGAGGACACUGAUAGUAGACAAGAGACGAGAGACACCCAAAAGUGAAACAUAGACCUGUCUUUGGGAGGUUCCAAGCCCUACAGGAUGUGACCGAGAUGAGCAGCAGCUCCAGGAUGAGGAAAGAAAUGAGAAACAAACCAGGAUCAGAACAUUAGACGACCAACACACAGUAAUCCAAAGAUUAAAAAUGGCUGUCUCCAAGAUUCUCAAUUAUUAAAAUCGACACGAUCAAACUGUGUAAAAGAAGUGCCUCAUUAAAAAAGUCAAACAAGAA